GGGCUCGUAGCUCAGCCGGCUAGAGCGUUCGCCUGAUAAGCGAGAGGUCGAAGGUUCGAGUCCUUCCGGGCCCAC
rnacentral:tRNA from 2 species